UACGUAGGGUGCAAGCGUUAAUCGGAAUUACUGGGCGUAAAGCGUGCGCAGGCGGUUUUGUAAGUCUGACGUGAAAUCCCCGGGCUCAACCUGGGAAUUGCGUUGGAGACUGCAAGGCUGGAGUCUGGCAGAGGGGGGGUAGAAUUCCACGUGUAGCAGUGAAAAUGCGUAGAGAUGUGGAGGAACACCGAUGGCGAAGGCAGCCCCCUGGGCCAAGACUGACGCUCAUGCACGAAAGCGUGGGGAGCAAACAGG
rnacentral:rRNA from 1 species